rnacentral:lncRNA from 1 species
CCCCUCGCCGACCAACGCAUUUACUACGGUGAAACGAUAACGUCUUCCCGCAGAGUGUACAUAUCACUUUGGUUUUAUUGAAUGUUCCAUCUUUGUUUUUUUGGAACAUGAACUUCCCAUCCAGAAAGUCCUCAGGUUCAUCAGAAUUAUCCAUGUUGUUUGUUUGUUUGGAUAGCAGCUGCCGUCUGACUGCAUUAGAAACUGCGACUAGUGCAGAUUGGGUGGAAUUAUGGGUAUAUUGAAUUAAAUGCGUUAAAAAAAAUAACGCAUUAAUCCUGUAAUUUAAUCAUAACGCGUUAUCGCGUUAUUUUUCACAGCUCUACUUAUUAGGUGUUUUUAUUCUAAUCCCAUGUCUCCAGUCUCUCCAAAGAACACCUCAGUGUCUGUCAGACCUGAUGUGAUAACAAAGGGUAGUUCAGUGAAUUUGACCUGCAGCAGUGAUGCCAACCCACCAGUGGAGAUCUACACCUGGUUUAAGGUGGGUGAGUCCACUCCAGUAGGAUCAGGACAGCAGUACAGCAUCACUAACAUCAGCUCUGAGGAUGGAGGACAGUACUACUGUGAGGCCAAGAAUGAACAUGGAGCAGACAACUCCUCGACUGUGUCCAUCACAGUUACUGAUCAUGGUAUCUUGCUUGCUCUCAUUUUUCUCUGUGUAUAUUUCUUUGCCAAACUAAAUAGCGCUUUUUAGUAUUUUCCUCUUCUGUUUGUCCCUCACAGGAGACCAUAGAGACCAUAGUCCUGUAGUGUAUGUGGUAACAGGAGUCUCAGUCUGUGGAGCUGCAGGUCUGUUCUGUGUGCUGGUCUGGAUUAGGUCAGUACUGAUCCUGAUUGAGGUACAAAUCAGUUUAAUUUUCACUUUUUCAUUUGAUUCAUUAAAAUCUUUCAUUCAUCAAAUUUUCACAGGUUCCACAAGACUUAUACAAGAGAGAGCAAGAAACCGGUGAGUUGUCCAUGUCUAAGUGUAUAUAAUGGUAGUGUAUAUGGUAGGUGAAUCUUUUCCUUACUGUAAUCAUCUCAGCUGGAUCAGAAUAAUGUCCAGCCCAAGCGCUCCAGAGAGACUGCAGGAGGAGCAGAGGAUGAUGUUCAGUACUCCACCAUCCAGCCCCACGGCUCCAGAAAGACUGCAGGAGGAGCAGAGGAUGAUGUUCAGUACUCCACCAUCCAGCCCCACGGCUCCAGAAAGACUGCAGGAGGAGCAGAGGAUGAUGAGUACUCCACUAUCCAGCCCCACGGCUCCAGAGAGACUGCAAGAGCUCAGGGGGACGAUGUCCAGUACGCCAGCCUCCAGUUCAAAAAGGCCCGUGUUGCAUAUGGUUCUACUGGUCAACCAGAGGGGGAGAUGUCUGUGAUCUACAGCACUGUGGAAACCAGAACAUGAGGGGAACCCAUCUAACCCAGCCGGUGGUCAGGGGAAAGAGCAGAGCAACACAGUGUAUGCACCUUCUAGACAAGUUUGUAACUGAAAGUCAUUUUCCAUUUCCUUGCAAUACUGUCAUUUGGAGUACGCUUUUUCUAAAUAAACCCUCUCUGCCUAGCA